UACGAAGGGGGCUAGCGUUGCUCGGAAUCACUGGGCGUAAAGGGUGCGUAGGCGGGUCUUUAAGUCAGGGGUGAAAUCCUGGAGCUCAACUCCAGAACUGCCUUUGAUACUGAAGAUCUUGAGUUCGGGAGAGGUGAGUGGAACUGCGAGUGUAGAGGUGAAAUUCGUAGAUAUUCGCAAGAACACCAGUGGCGAAGGCGGCUCACUGGCCCGAUACUGACGCUGAGACGCGAAAGCCAGGGGAGCAAACGGG
rnacentral:rRNA from 1 species